ACCUAAUUUCCUAUUUAUGAGGUGCAUAGUUAGAUCAUAUUUAUGUAUAUUUCGUUUUUAACGAAACAGGAAGCUAGGGGAAAUCCUUGGACUCAGUUUAUUAUUAUUAUUAUAUAUCUAUCUUUACAUAUGUAUAUUUGUAGAACCUUGCUUUUAAAAUCAAGGUUAAGCUAUGUAGAUAUCCUCAGUCAUCAUCAUUGUAACCAUUGUAAAGAAAAAACAAGAAAAAACCAGAAUUAACACUCCUUAUGGUUUUAUUUUUACUUUUUUUAAUUGUUGUCCAGUGAUUAUUAUAUCCUUCUGCAAUGGUUUGCUCUUAUUUUCUGCUGUGUUGUUUGUAAAAAAAAAAGAGAGUGAUUUGAAUGGUUCCUCUUAAAACAGGAUGUCCUUCAAGGAAAGAAAAUAAUUAAUUGUACUUCAUAAUAGGAAGACCAAUUAUAUAGACUCGUGUAAAAUAUGAUCUAAAACGCGGGAGAUAUUAUUUAUAAUUAGCAAUCUGAACAAUAUUUUAUAUUUUCAAAAGCUGUUACCAUUAAGCUUUAAUUAUUGAGGAGGGAACAUAUCAAUCCGGUUUGAGAGAAUUAUAUGUAGGAAGCAUCUAUGUAUAAAGUGCGUGAGCUCAUGGGUCAUAGAGAGGAAUACUAAGGAUUUUUUCGUGAGUUAUAAGUGUAAGUUCUUGUUAGACUCAGAGUAUAAUUGAGGAUCAAGAUCCGGGUAACUCCUUUCUAGGUCCUUGUUUAGGGAGUAUUUGUUGCUUGCAGCUGAUCUAUUGAUAGUAAAACGUCAAGUCAGCUAGGCUGGUCUGCUUUCAAACAUCAUUCUAAUUGUAAGGGUUGUUUAUCAUACUGACAGGUCACCUUUUAUGCAACUCUAUUAAUUACUACGAAAUAAAAAAUACAUACUUGGUACGCCAGCACAAAAGAAUCUUGAAUAAAUAUAAAAAAAAUGAGAAAUUUCCAAUUAAUAUCUUUUAAUUUUUAAGAACGUAUUUAGCUCCAUUAUGAUCCCUUUGUAUUCAAAUUUUCAAGUUGAAAUAACCUCAAUAAUGCUUAUCAUAUAGUUUGAAACAUUGAUUUAAUUGUGAUACUUUAUUUGGGAAAAAUUAUAUGGUCCUUUUCUUAUAGAAUCUAUCAAAAUUCGGGGUUCCUUUAUAGAAUUAAUCUGAAUAUAUAUUUUAUUAACAAAAAUGGAAAAAAGAUUAUUUGAUGACUCCAGGCUCAAUUUUGGGGUAAAUCAUUUCUAGCUUGCUUCAUAGUUAAUGGACCAUAUACUUGAAUCUAAAGUACAUAAUUGCAGUGUUACUUGACUUACACAAAAAGUUACAUCAAAUUAUAUAGUCAGUUAUAAUAAUGUUUAAUCUUAUGUUCUUCUAAACAGUAUUUUGAACGUUGAUUGGUUUAAUUCGAUUAAGGCAUGACCAAACUAAAAAAUGUAUAUUAUCCGCAAAGUGGUGAGGUAGUCAAUAGCUUGUUGUUAACUAGUUUUUAGAAAAAAAUGGUGAAUGCUGCGAAGAAUUUUUACAGUGUCCUCUAUCUAAGUAAUAUAUUUCAAUUUUCUAUUUAAAAAAAUUAUCAUUCUGGCAGUUGUAUUAUCUCUAUCGCUUUGUUUAGAAACUAAUAUAAGUAAACAACGCCAUUUAGCUAUUUUAAGCUAUAAAUAAUUCCCAAAAAAUAUUAAAUAAUAAUUUUACAGGACAACUCACUACCACCAAUUGAUUUUGUGGAUGUUUCAUUCGGAGGAAAGGUUGGGAUAUGCAAUAAAUGUAACAACGCAUAAUAUGUGAAGUAAAAACAUAGACAAAAUUAUUAUUUAAGUAUUCUCCUCUAAAUUGAGUGCCCUAAAGACCCUUAUCCUGAAAUUAAUCAUCUUUAAUUCUUUAUAGGGAUAUUUUUUUCAUUAAUCUCCUCUGAACUUUGAAAAUUAGAAUAAUCCAAGAUCUUUAAAAUAUUCCAAACAGUAGAAAUGAUGCAAAUAUAAAAUCAUUAUUGCAUUUGAAGCCCCAUUGCUCACUAGACAGUGCAUCAAUUUAGUAAAUAAAAUAUUUCAAAUGAAUUAAGGGAUUUAUUGUGUUAUAUUCCAGCAGUUUUUUUAUUUAGAAAUUCCACCUUAUAAAAGCUGAAUUAUUUAUUUUAAUAUUCGUGUUGGGAUUUUUUAUGUAGUAAAAAUAAACAAAAAAUUAUAAAGAUAUAUAUAUAUAUGAUGCUAGUAGGUUAAUUUUUUACAAAAAAUGAGGCUAGAUUUCACGCAUUUAUAUACUCUAAUCAAUUUAAAUUAUCUUUAUAUCCAUUAAUCAAUUACUCUGAUUAAUUCAUUUAGCCACAAAUUGCCAUUAAAUGUUCCAAAAAUUCACCGUCACAAUUAAAGAAUAUUACAGAUUUUUGUAUUGGAAAAGACAUAUCGGAGUCAAAUAAAAGUUUCAUAAAUCUCCAAUAAAGGUUCAAUACUUUAGUUACAAUUCUUAGAUAUUUCAAAUUUUUAAAAACUUGAAUUUAAAGCCCAUAAUAUAUGUAUUUCAUUUUCAUUGAGAAUUUGCAUGAUUUUUAUUCAAGAUAGCUGUAAUGUUGACGUACCAUA
rnacentral:lncRNA from 1 species